UUUUUUUUUUUCUUUUUUUUUUUGGUCUUUUUAGAGUUGCACCGAGGCAUAUGGAGGUUCCCAGGUUAGGUGUUGAAUCGGAGCUACAGCUGCUGGCCUGCACCACAGUCACAGCAACGCAGGAUCCGAGCCACAUCUUGGACCUACACCACUGCUCACAUCAACCCAGAUCCUUAACCCACUGAGCAAGGCCAGGGAUGAAAACUGAGUUCUCAUGGAUGCCAGUCAUAUUCAUUUCCGCUGAGCCAGGACAGUUACUCUGGAAGUAUAAUAAAUAUCUAAAAGUGAACAGCAUUUCUACCUACACACGGACAAUACACCUGGAAAUUGAAAAAUUUUAAAUACCACUUAAAAUGUGAAAUACUUGGAGUUCCCGUCGUGGCACAGUGGUUGACGAAUCCGACUAUGAACCGUGAGGUUGCGGGUUCGAUCCCUGACCUUAUUCACUGGGUUAAGGAUCUGGCAUUGCCAUGAGCUAUGGCGUAGGUCACAGAUGCGGCUUGGAUUCCGGGUUGCUGUGGCUCUGGCGUAGGCCAGCAGCUGUAGCUCCAAUUCAACACCUAACCUGGGAACCUCCAUAUGCCUCGGGUGCAACUCUAAAAAGACAAAAAAAAAAAAAAAAGACUAUCUAAAGAGGGUAUGCCAUGUUGGUGGUUCAGAAGACUCAGUAUGGUUAUAAUGUCAACUCCCCAGACUGAUCCACAUUCCAUGAAAUCCCAAUCAAAACCCUAGGAGAUUUUUGUGUACAAGUUGAUAAGCUGUUUCUACAAUUUACUUUGAAAUGAAAAAGACCUAAAUAGCAAAACUAACUUUGAAAAAGAACAGAACUGAGGUACUUACACUGCAAGACUCCAGAUAAAGCUACAGCAAACAAGACUCUGAGCUACCGAGGGAGACUCUGUACACUUGAAGCUCGGUUCUCAUAAAUGCAUUUUACUCUGUCUCCCCUUCUAAGAUUUGGAGAUUUGGAGGGGGAGGGGGGAAUAAUAUCAAAAACCAACAUGAGAGAAUCACGUGGAGUCUCGAAGAACUGCAAAAUCGAUCACAUGACCUGGCAGAAUUUGUAUCAUAAAAAUUGUUACUCUAGGCUUAAUUAGCCAAACAGUUUAGCUAAGCUCUAGGGAGUGACUGGAUCCUUCUCUGAAGAUCCAAAUGAGGGAAUUGUUUUAUAUAUGCACGCAAGUUCAUUCUCUUUUCCUCUCUCCCCGCCCCCACCCAUUCAGUAAAUAUUUACUGACCGCCACUUUGUCCUCAACACAAUGGGGAUACAAGGAUGAAUGAAAUACGCAGUUUGUUUAAUUAAGCUUCUUACUUUUGAGAUAAGCAUAGAUUCCCAUGCAGUUGUAAAAAAAAAAAUAAAACAAAGAGACCCCAUGGAAUCUUUAUGUAGAUUCUCUCAAGAGUUAACCUCUUGGAAAACCACAGUACAGUAUCACAACCAGAAUUCUGACAUAGAUACAAUCCAUCCAUCUUAUUCAGAGUUCACCAGUUUCGCUUGUACUCAUGUGUGUGGGUGUGUGGGUGUGUGUGCAGUUCUCUGCAGACUGAUCACAUGUGCAGGUUUGUGUUUCCACCACAGGCAAGAUACAGAACACUUCCAUCACCAGUGAAGAGCCCCACCGCUGUCCCUUCAUCACCAUGUCCACUUGUCACUUCUCCUCUCACCCACUCCCUAACCCUAGACAACAACUAAUGUGCUCCAUAUUGCUAUCAUUUUGUCAUUUCAAGAAUAUUAGAUCAAUGGAAUCAUACAGUCUGUAAACUUUCGGGGUUUUUUUUCCCCACUCAGCAUAAUUCCCUAGAGAUUCAUGCAGCAUGUUGCCUGUAUUAAUUUGCUUCUCUUCGUUGUGGAGUAGUAGUCCACAGUAUGGAUGUACCGCAGUGCAUUUUAAGGACAUCCAGAUGUUGCUAGUUUUUGAUAAUUAUGAAAAAUGUGUUGUGAACAUACACGUACAGGUGUGUAUUAACGUAUUUUCC
rnacentral:lncRNA from 1 species